rnacentral:misc_RNA from 2 species
UCAAGUUCUCAACCACAACUGGAUUCUUUUUUCUGUUGUGGCUUGGAUUGGUGGGGGAUUUGCUGGCUUUCACAAGUCUGCUCCCCUGAAAUGCAUUAGUGGUAUGAGCUACUACGUGGUGUGAUAAAUUUAUCUAUGCCCUGCUAGUGUGCAGCUGUAUACUGCUUCUAACAAAAACCUUAUUUGUUUGAUGA